GUGGGGAAUAUUGCGCAAUGGGCGAAAGCCUGACGCAGCGACGCCGCGUGAGGGAAGAAGGCCUUCGGGUUGUAAACCUCUGUCCUUGGUGACGAAAAAAAUGACGGUAGCCAAGGAGGAAGCCCCGGCUAACUACGUGCCAGCAGCCGCGGUAAUACGUAGGGGGCGAGCGUUGUCCGGAAUUACUGGGCGUAAAGGGUGCGUAGGUGGCCUUUUAAGUUGGAUGUGAAAUACCCGGGCUUAACUUGGGGGGUGCAUCUAAUACUGGAGGGCUAGAGUGCAGGAGAGGGAAGCGGAAUUCCUAGUGUAGCGGUGAAAUGCGUAGAUAUUAGGAGGAACACCAGUGGCGAAGGCGGCUUUCUGGACUGUAACUGACACUGAGGCACGAAAGCGUGGGGAGCAAACAGGAUUAGAAACCCGGGUAGUCC
rnacentral:rRNA from 1 species